rnacentral:lncRNA from 1 species
AUUGCCCUUUGUUGUUUGUCCGUACAGGUAUAUUUUUAUUUUAAUAUUUAUCUGCACUUUCAACAUGCUUAGUUUAUAAACCUAACGUUUUGAAAUUUAUGUAUAAUCAGAAGCUAAAUUAUACAUAGGUGAGACAACAGUAAUUAUUGCUAAGGGAAAUUAAAACUAGUAGGCCUAAAGAAGUGAAUCGUCUUUGGUUGAAAUGCGAAAAUCAUUAGACCGACGUCACAAGUUACAUUUAAUCACGGAUGUUGGAAUGAGUUUUAUAUUGAUCUAUAUUCAGAUAUGACUUUCAUCAUUGUUGUUUUAAAAAUAAUUGUAAAAAUGGUCGAUAAGAUGAUAAAAAGAAUAUAUUAUAAUAGGUAAACAACAUUUCUUAUGGAACGCCGGAAUAACACUUCAAUUUCUUAGUAAAACAUUGGUUAAAUGGGUUUUUCAUUUCAAUUGAAUUGAGCAAUACUGUAAUGCAUUAAAAAAUAUAAAUAAGACAGCCAAAGAAAAAUGAACUUGACAUUUAUUAUACAGUACUUGCAACUUACUGUUUUGGCGAUCAAUCAGGGGUCAGCGAUCAGUCACUGAUCAGUCAAGUAUGGUUUAACUCACGUCAACAAUCCGUCAGACUUAUAGCUAAAGUAUUUGACUGAUCAGGCGGAAAGGACCGAUUGACCUUUCUGACCGAUCAAACUCUCAUACGUCACAUGAUAAACUAAUACAAAUUACCGAAUCUUAGUUUCUUUUCAUACAAUUGAAAUGGCGGUUUGACAAAUAUGAAACUUUCACGUACAAGUGGUCAACGUUUUUUUAUUAAUUAUUCAGUAAAGUUUUAACAAUUUAAAAUUAACGAUAAAACUAAAUUUAAAUAUUAUUAUUCAUGUUAUUAAAGAAUGGUCAUUUUUUAAUCUUUUUAAUUAGGCUAUAGAUUUUCAAACUAAUGGAGAGUUCUAAGACGUACAGUGUUAAUCAUGAUUUUGAAUUUAUCAUUUUCUGAAAAUGUUCUCGAAAAAAAUAUGAAAUGAUCAUUAAUUGCAUAUUUCAGGGUAUUAUUUUCAAAUAUUUUUAAGUAUCUUAUCUUUAUAAUUUUCAAAUUCUAUAAAAAAAAAUAUGUCAAGGCCAUUUAGAAAACAAAUUACUAAAUUAAUGUAAUUGCUGCAUUUUCUUUUAAAAAUACGAAAUAUUUGUAAUUUUGAACAAUGAAAACAACAUUAAAGUACAUUUUUUCUGAUAUUAAAUGAAAAAUAACUAAUCCUAAACUAUCAAAAGUACAAACAUCCCAUGGCGAUCAAUAAUUUACAUUCAAAUAAAGAAAUGAGUGCAUUCUCAUUCAACAAAACAAAAGUUUAUGCAUAUUUAGCCUUCAUUUAUUCACAUUUUACCUAAAAUAUUCCUGAUGUACAAAAAGUACUGAAAUUUAAAUGGUGAUUCAUUAUUUCUAUCAAAAUGAAGAUAUUAUCAUAAUUAAAUUAUUACACGUGUCUAAAAUCAAGGAGUUAAUAAACUUUCUAUAUAUGUCUUUUGUUUUUGGAAGACGUUUUGCAGUUUUCUGAGCAUUAUAAUUUGUAAUGCGGGCUUAAUUUUUACAUUCGUAGUGUGUUCCCAAGUGUAUUGGUGUCAUGUAAUUAUUUAAGUAUUCUUUCUUUGUGUUGGAUUAAAUUUUUAUUGUUUUCAUUCCGCAUGGUGUUUCGGAUAUCAAUUUAGGUCACACUCGGACCAAGGCCAUUCAUCCUCAUCAGGUGCUCUGGCCAUUAUUUAGAUUAUUUAUUUGAUCUAUUAAUAUGCUUGCUUUUUAUAUCGGAUGCGAUUAUCUUAAAGAGCAUAGAUUAUUGCAUUCAUAUUCAACAUGUUCAAUACAAACUAAAGUUUAAGCAUAACUCUAUUAACAAUAUUAAAGUUCUUAUGAAAAUAUGUGAAAAUAAUUCUAUUUUGAAUUACCUCCCUUACAAUAGUGUUUUCUUUAAAUAAGCUUUUUGACAAAAUGUACUCUCAAAAGUGAAAUAUUUUUUUCUUUGCCUGUUUUUUUAUAUAUAUUAUUUAUAAAAACCAUGCACUAUUUAGCUCUUAAAAAUAUAUAUAGGACUAGAAAUUGAUUUUUAAGUAAAUAUAAUUCUUUUAAAAGACAAUUGUCAUGGAACAAAAUAUAUGAAACAAACCCAGACGUUAUUUCACAGAUCUCAAUUAUGAAAUAAUAUCAUGAUCACUGAGAAAAUAAGGAUCGAUAUGUUUACUGCAAGAUCGUUUCUUAAUUUCCGGGUACGGUAAACCACAUUUCCGUAAAAUAAAUUGCGCUUAUCCGUUUGGAAUAAAUUUUCUACACGUACAACCAAACUUCAAAACCAAAUCUUUAUAUAUCUAUGGUAGAAUUUAGUAAAGGUUUUAGGUAACUUGUGGUGACGAAUUCCCUGGCUUAAAAUUUUACUAGUGUCAAUAGUAAUAUAUAGAUUCCAUUAGUUAAAAUGAAAAAUGUCACAACAGACACGGGCAAAGCGAACGAGUUGUAAAAUAUAAACACAGUAAGCUGGUGCCAUCCACAAAGGGAAAAUUAACAAUAGGGAACGAAAAAUCGUCGCUUUUGUCGUAAAUUUUAGUGUGGAGUUUCCCAUGUGAAACAGAAAUAUCUAAAUCUAGGAAAGGACAGGUAUUCGAGACGUGAAGCAAGUAAUUAAACAUGAGCAUGCAUGCAUAUUGAAGAUUAUGUUAUAUAUUUUACAUUAAAUACAAAUAAAAAUAAAAAUAUUUGAAAAUAAUACUCUGAAAUAUGCAAUUAAUAAUCAUUUCAUAUUUUUUUCGAGAACAUUUUCAGAAAAUGAUAAAUUCAAAAUCAUGAUUAACACUGUACGCCUUAGACAUGUUAGAACUCUCCAAGUUUGAAAAUAUAUAGCCUAAAAAGAUUAGAAAAUGACCAUUCUUUAAUAACCAUGAUAACAUGAAUAAUAAUAUUUAAAUUUAGUUUUAUCGUUAUUUUUAAAUUCUUAAAACUUUACUGAAUAAUUAAUAAAAAAAUGUUGACCACUUGUACGUGAAAGUUUCAUAUUUGUCAAACCGCCUUCUCAAUUGUAUGAAAAGAAACUAAGAUUCUGUAAUUUUUAUUAGUUUAUCAUGUGACGUAUGAGAGUUUAAUCCGUCAGGACGAGAACAGUCUAGAUUACUUGACAUAAGCCUAUAUAUAUUUGUAUGGUGAUUUCCGAAAUUGAAGUUAAAUAUGGCCUCGACUUAAUGAACUUCAAUGUAUUCUGGACUAGUACGUACGAAUUUACUACCGCUCAAAAACACAUGGAAUUAAUGAGAAUAAUAAAGUGUAUGGGACAGCUCUCAUAGUAAAUGUUUUUGUUCACGGAGUGAUUUGAAAGAGAAUGAUGUCGAAUAGGUGAUGGGGUUAGCCUUUGUCCAAACUGCUACAUUGUAAUAUAGCUUUGUCCAUUUUGCUGGGGCCUGGUCAGCAAACAACAAUUAAAACAUUUAAACUUGCCAGUGAAUUUUGUCUACUGGCUCUGAAAGCUAGUCUUGAAUGAAUGUUUUGAUCUGUUUACACAUCUUUUACACAUUUUUAUUUUAAAAUAAUACUUACAGCCACAAAAUUAUCAUGAUUAUAACGAGAUACUGAAAUGCACAGUUUCUGAAUUUUAAAGGUUUAAUUAACGUGUGAUUAGUAUUAGUUGAAUAUGUGAAAUGUGUGUAAAUAUUAAAAACUGAGAUUCCUUACCACCGUCAUCUUUCAUAGACUGAAUAAAACUCCUCAUCUUGCAACCUUUUUUGUUCAGUUAAUAUAGAACAGUAUUUGAAUUUGACCUCAACUGGAAGUCAGAGAGAUAGAUAAACAGAGAAAAUUUGAAAUGCAUUAAUAUUUUUUCAUUGUAGCAAUCAUCAAUGAAUCACACCAAGAUAGCUAACAAAGUUAACAAUCAUUUUCAAAUCAUUUUAUAUGAUAUUCAAAGUUACCAAAUCAUAACGAAAUCACACCAUUCUAGCUAACAAGUUAACAAAUCUCUUUAAAUCAUUUCAUAUGAUAUUCUAGUAAACAAAUCAUAAAGAAAUCGCACAAAAACAGAAACAAAUUGCUUGCAAAUCAUACAAUAGAAAGAAACAGUUUUAGGGAUUUGGAAAAUUUGAUUUGUUUGUGAUUUUUUUAAUGAAUCGCAAGCCAAUGGUACUAACAAAUUGAAAGAGAUUUAAAUACGAUUUGAAAGCAAUUUGUUCAUUUAUUUUCUUUUUAUACGACCGCAAAUUUUGAAAAAAAAUUUCGUCGUAUAUUGCUAUCAGUUGGCGUCGUCGUCUGCGUCGUCGUCGUCGUCGUCGUCGUCCGAAUACUUUUAGUUUUCGCACUCUAAUUUUAGUAAAGUGGAAUAGAAAUCUAUGAAAUUUUAACACAACGUUUAUGACAUAAAAGGAAGGUUGGUAUUGAUUUUGGAGUUUUGGUCCCAACAUUUUAGGAAUUAGGGGCCAAAAAGGCCCAAAAAAGCAUUUUCUUGGUUUUCGCACCAUACUUUAGUUUAAGUUAAUAGAAAUCUAUGAAAUUUUGACACAAGGUUUAUGACCACAAAAGAAAGAUUGGGAUUAAUUUUGGGAGUUUUUGUUUCAACAGUUUAGGAAUAAGGGGCCAAUAAAGGGCCCAAAUAAGCAUUUUUCUUGGUUUUCGCACAAUAACUUUAGUUUAAGUAAAUAGAAAUCGAUGAAAUUUAAACACAAUGUUUAUGACCACAAAAGGAAGGUUGUAUUGGAUUUGGGAGUUUAGGACCAACAGUUUAGGAAUUAGGGGCCAAAAAGGGACCCAAAUAAGCAUUUUCUUGGUUUUCGCACCAUAACCUUAGUAUAAGUAAAUACAAAUCUAUGAAAUUUGAACAUAAGGAUUAUGACCAUGAAAGGAAGGUUGGUAUUGAUUUUGGGAGUUUUGGUCCCAACAGUUUAGGAAAAAGGGGCCAACAGGGUCCAAAAUAAACUUUGUUUGAUUUCAUCAAAAUUGAAUAAUUGGGGUUCUUUGAUAUGCCGAAUCUAACUGUCAUGACUGUAUAUGUAGAUUCUCAACUUUUGGUCCCGUUUUCAAAUUGGUCUACUUAAGGUCCAAAGGGUCCAAAAUUAAACUGAGUUUGAUUUUGACAAAAAAAUGAAUCGGUUGGGUUCUUUGAUGUGUUGAAUCUAAAAAUGUAUUUAGAUUCUUGAUUAUUGUGCCAGUUUUCAAGUUGGUCCAAAUCGGGGUCCAAAAUUAAACUUUGUUUGAUUUCAUCAAAAUUGAAUCCUUGGGGUUCUUUGAUAUGCCAAAUCUAACUGUGUAUGUAGAUUCUUCAUUUUUGGUCCUGUUUUCAAAUUGGUCUACAUUAAAGUCCAAAGGGUCCAAAAUUAAACUAAAGUUUGAUUUUAACAAAAAUUGAAUUCUUGGGCCUCUUUGAUAUGCUGAAUCUCAACAUGUACUUAGAUUUUGAUUAUGGGCCCAGUUUUCAAAGUUGGUCCAAAUCAGGAUCUAAAAUAUCAUAUUAAGUAUUGUGCAAUAGCAAGUCUUUUCAUUGCACAGUAUUGUGCAAUGGCAAGAAAUAUCUAAUUGCACAAUAUUGUGAAAUAGCAAAAAAAAAUUAAAUUAGAGAUCUUUCUUUGUCCAGAAUAGUAAGCAAGAAAUAUCCUAUUGCACAAUAUUGUGCAAUAGCAAGAAAUUUUUUAAUUGGAGUUAUCUUUCUUUGUCCAGAAUCAACUUAAAUCUUUGUUAUAUACAAUAUACAAUGUAUAUACACUUUUUACUACCAACUGAUAAAUUUAAAUAAUCUUUACCAUUCAGUGAUAACAAGCUGUUUUUUUUACAUCUUAUAUUUUAUGAUUUAUUUAAAUGAGUAGUUAUUGUUGCAAACUCCAUUAGAAUAUUUUAAUUGAGAUUAGUUUUGGAAUAAGGAAAGGGGGAUGUGAUUAAAAAAUUGGGUUCAAUUUUUCUCUUUUGAAAUUUCAUAAAUAAAAAGAAAAUUUCUUCAAACAUUUUUUUGAGAGGUUAAUAUUCAACAGCAUAGUGAAUUGCUCUAGAGAGAAAAAAAAUUUUAAGUUCAUUAGAACACAUUCAUUCUGUGUCAGAAACUAUGCUGUGUCAACUAUUAAUCACAAUCCAAAUUUAGAGCUGAAUCCAGCUUGAAUGUUGUGUCCAUACUUGCCCAACCGUUCAGGGUUCAACCUCUGCGGUCGUAUAAAGCUACGCCUGCGGAGCAUCUGGUUUGGGUUAUUGUGGUGGGAAUGCAGAGUUUGGUAAGGAAUUAGUGACUUAUGACCAUGAUGACUGUAACAAUGAUACUUGUGUCUACAGUUACUCUGUGUUAUUGUUACUUCAGAUUGAUUAAACUUUAACUUUCUAUAUUUCUAUAUGUUUGUUCUAUAACUUCCAUGAUCUCACUUGUAUUUUGUUUAUCAUUUAGGAAGCCUUUAACAUGGCAACAGAACAGAUUACAGAUCACUUAAAAUAGAAACAUAUCUCAUGGCAGACAAGAAAUUAGAGAAAUGUUAAAUAUCUUAUGAAGAUAUACAUGAUAUAGCUAUGGCAGAAGGUUCCAGUAUUAUAUCUUCAGACAAUAUUAACAACAAGUUAGAAAUGUUCAUAUACCAGCAGGACCAGAAUGGUCAAGUAAAAACAGAGACAGAUGAAGUGUUUCAUAAUGGUCAAGUAAAAACAGAGACAGAUAAAGUGUUUAAUACUGGAAAUUUAGAGGAAUCAAUUACUAUAUCUUCUGACCAGAUCGCAAACAGGUUAGAGGCGUACAACAGUAGACAGGGCAGUACAGAAACAGUUAUGUCUAAUUAUCAUAUAGGUAAUUCAAGCAGUUUACAGAAUCACAGCAUAACAAAUUCCAGUGAAAAACCUUUUGAAUGUGGGGUAUGUGGUAAAGGGUAUAUUAGUAGUUAUUACUUGACAGGACACAUGUUAAAACAUACAGGUGAUAGACCAUUUUCAUGUGACGUUUGUGGUAAAGGGUUUCGUAUGAGUAGAGACUUAAAGAGACACAAGGUCAUACACACUGGUGAAAAACCUUAUAAAUGUGAGGUAUGUGGUAAAGGGUUUAGUGAUAAAGGAUAUGUAUUUCAUCAUAGGAGAUCGGUGCAUGGUGGUAUCACCUAUAAAUGUGAUAUGUGUAGUCAAGAGCUGUGUAGUAAAUCUAGCUUACAACGUCACUUAUUAACACAUACUAGUGAUAAACCUCACGAGUGUGAUGUGUGUGGUACAUGUUUCAGUCAGAAACUGGGAUUACAGAGACACAUGCGAGUUCACGUUGGUGAUAAAAUUCACAAGUGUAAUGUUUGUGGGAAACGUUUUAGUUAUGGCCAGGGUUUGAGAAGACACACGAAGAUACACACUG